rnacentral:rRNA from 1 species
UUCGGAGGUACUCGAGUGGCGAACGGGUGAGUAACACGUGGGCAAUCUGCCCUGCACUUCGGGAUAAGCCUGGGAAACUGGGUCUAAUACCGGAUAGGACCUCAAGACGCAUGUCUUCUGGUGGAAAGCUUUUGCGGUGUGGGAGGGGCCCGCGGCCUAUCAGCUUGUUGGUGGGGUGACGGCCUACCAAGGCGACGACGGGUAGCCGGCCUGAGAGGGUGUCCGGCCACACUGGGACUGAGAUACGGCCCAGACUCCUACGGGAGGCAGCAGUGGGGAAUAUUGCACAAUGGGCGCAAGCCUGAUGCAGCGACGCCGCGUGGGGGAUGACGGCCUUUCGGGUUGUAAACCUCUUUCACCAUCGACGAAGGUCCGGGUUUUCUCGGAUUGACGGUAGGUGGAGAAGAAGCACCGGCCAACUACGUGCCAGCAGCCGCGGUAAUACGUAGGGUGCGAGCGUUGUCCGGAAUUACUGGGCGUAAAGAGCUCGUAGGUGGUUUGUCGCGUUGUUCGUGAAAUCUCACGGCUUAACUGUGAGCGUGCGGGCGAUACGGGCAGACUAGAGUACUGCAGGGGAGACUGGAAUUCCUGGUGUAGCGGUGGAAUGCGCAGAUAUCAGGAGGAACACCGGUGGCGAAGGCGGGUCUCUGGGCAGUAACUGACGCUGAGGAGCGAAAGCGUGGGGAGCGAACAGGAUUAGAUACCCUGGUAGUCCACGCCGUAAACGGUGGGUACUAGGUGUGGGUUUCCUUCCUUGGGAUCCGUGCCGUAGCUAACGCAUUAAGUACCCCGCCUGGGGAGUACGGCCGCAAGGCUAAAACUCAAAGGAAUUGACGGGGGCCCGCACAAGCGGCGGAGCAUGUGGAUUAAUUCGAUGCAACGCGAAGAACCUUACCUGGGUUUGACAUGCACAGGACGCGUCUAGAGAUAGGCGUUCCCUUGUGGCCUGUGUGCAGGUGGUGCAUGGCUGUCGUCAGCUCGUGUCGUGAGAUGUUGGGUUAAGUCCCGCAACGAGCGCAACCCUUGUCUCAUGUUGCCAGCGGGUAAUGCCGGGGACUCGUGAGAGACUGCCGGGGUCAACUCGGAGGAAGGUGGGGAUGACGUCAAGUCAUCAUGCCCCUUAUGUCCAGGGCUUCACACAUGCUACAAUGGCCGGUACAAAGGGCUGCGAUGCCGUAAGGUUAAGCUUGAAUCCUUUUAAAGCCGUUCUCAGUUCGGAUCGGGGUCUGCAACUCGACCCCAUGAAGUCGGAGUCGCUAGUAAUCGCAGAUCAGCAACGCUGCGGUGAAUACGUUCCCGGGCCUUGUACACACCGCCCGUCACGUCAUGAAAGUCGGUAACACCCGAAGCCAGUGG